UGAACGCUGGCGGUAGGCCUAACACAUGCAAGUCGAACGCAGUAGCAAUACUGAGUGGCAGACGGGUGAGUAACAUGUGGGAAUCUGCCUUGUGGUUCAGGACAACAUUGGGAAACCGAUGCUAAUACUGGAUAAGCCCUUACGGGGAAAGUUUUAAUGCCAUAAGAUGAGCCCGCAUUUGAUUAGUUAGUUGGUGAGGUAAUGGCUCACCAAGACAACGAUCAAUAGCUGAUCUGAGAGGAUGAUCAGCCACACUGGGACUGAGACACGGCCCAGACUCCUACGGGAGGCAGCAGUGGGGAAUCUUAGACAAUGGGCGCAAGCCUGAUCUAGCCAUGCCGCGUGAGCGAUGAAGGCCUUAGGGUUGUAAAGCUCUUUCAGUGGGGAAGAUAAUGACUGUACCCACAGAAGAAGCCCCGGCUAACUCCGCGCCAGCAG
rnacentral:rRNA from 1 species